AUGUGGGCUUAGUUAGGAGGCAAACAUUAAUCUCAAUCCAAUAUGUUUUGUGUUGGAUUGAGCGAGGCGUUUUUGAGGGCUCUUUCUCAAUUCAGUUGUCCUCCAAGCAUCCUCAUACAUUA